rnacentral:snRNA from 1 species
GUGCUCACUUUGGCAGCACAUAUACUAAAAUUGGAAUGAUACGGAGAUUAGCAUGGCCCCUGCACAAGGAUAACAUGCAAAAUCUUGAACCAUACCAUAUUUUU